rnacentral:rRNA from 1 species
CAGUAGCCGCGGUAAUACGGAGGGUGCAAGCGUUAAUCGGAAUUACUGGGCGUAAAGCGCACGCAGGCGGUUUGUUAAGUCAGACGUGAAAUCCCCGAGCUUAACUUGGGAACUGCAUUUGAAACUGGCAAGCUAGAGUACGGUAGAGGGGGAUGGAAUUCCGCGUGUAGCAGUGAAAUGCGUAGAUAUGCGGAGGAACACCGAUGGCGAAGGCAAUCCCCUGGACCUGUACUGACGCUCAUGCACGAAAGCGUGGGGAGCAAACAGGAUUAGAUACCCCGGUAGUCCCUGUCUCUUAUAC